rnacentral:rRNA from 1 species
AGGAUGAACGCUGGCGGCGUGCCUAAGACAUGCAAGUCGAGUGGGUUUAGGCCCACGGCGAACGGGUGAGUAAUAUCUAGGAACUUUUUUCAAGUCGAGGAUAUCCUUCCGAAAGGAAGUGCAAUACUUGAUGUGACCGCAAGGUUAAAGUCGCAAGACGCUUGAAGCAAGGCCUGGACACCAUCAGCUAGUUGGCGAGGUAAAGGCUCACCAAGGCUUUGACGGUUAGCGGAUCUGAGAGGAUGACCCGCCACACUGGGACUGCGACACGGCCCAGACUCCUACGGGAGGCAGCAGUUUGGAAUUUUGGUCAAUGGGGAAACCCUGAACCAGCGACGCCGCGUGGACGAUGAAGGCCUUCGGGUCGUAAAGUCCUUUUAGCAGGGAAAAUUUUGAUUGUACCUGCAGAAUAAGAGGUUGCUAACUCUGCGCCAGCAGCCGC